rnacentral:tRNA from 1 species
GGUGGGAUGGCCGAGCGGCUGAAGGCACCGGUUUUGAAAACCGGCGAGGUUUGCGCCUCCGGGGGUUCGAAUCCCUCUCCCACCGCCA